AGGUACAAGUGGGGUUCUUGAACCAAUUCAAGAGAAAGCUUGAAAUUCUUGAGUUGGUGGAACUAACAAGGUUCAAGGUUAGCGAAUUGGCGUGAAGUAUACGUUGCUUCUUGGUGAGGAUUGCGUGUUUACUUCGAGGUGAGACAGGAUCUAGUGCACAGGCCGCGGAUCAGCAGGAGGACGCGUGACAAAGGUGGCCUGGACUUUUGUGGUUAUGUGACACAUGUGUGUGGAUUUAUAUAUAUGUAUGGUGUGAUGUUGGUAUGUUUUAGUAGUUUAAGUACAUUGAUGUACUAUGGUUAUGGCUGGAUUGAUGAUGAUGGGGUAUGUGUUUGAUGGUGGACCUACGGGUCGGUUGAUUUUGAUGAUAUUAGAAGUGUUUUUCUUGUAUGUGAUCUUAUUACAGGUGGCUUUCCUCAAUUUAUGGGGAGAUGCUGUCGAAAUUUUUGGUAUAGUUUAUAUUGGGUUGGGACGUAACACGUGAGAUGCACGUGAUUGUGUUUGGUGUGAGGGUUCUUGCGUAUUUGUCAUUUUCUUCACGCUCUGCGGAUAGGGGCGUGACAAUUUCUUUCUGAGUCUUUACCCUUAUUGACAGCACCACUGGAUUAUGCUCGUUCGUCGCCUGAAUCUCGACCUUUCGACCCA